rnacentral:rRNA from 1 species
GAUGAACGCUCGCUACAGGCUUAACACAUGCAAGUCGAGGGGAAACGGCAUUGAGUGCUUGCACUCUUUGGACGUCGACCGGCGCACGGGUGAGUAACGCGUAUCCAACCUUCCCAUUACUGUGGGAUAACCUGCCGAAAGGCAGACUAAUACCGCAUAGUCUUCGAUGACGGCAUCAGAUUUGAAGUAAAGAUUUAUCGGUAAUGGAUGGGGAUGCGUCUGAUUAGCUUGUUGGCGGGGUAACGGCCCACCAAGGCUACGAUCAGUAGGGGUUCUGAGAGGAAGGUCCCCCACAUUGGAACUGAGACACGGUCCAAACUCCUACGGGAGGCAGCAGUGAGGAAUAUUGGUCAAUGGACGGAAGUCUGAACCAGCCAAGUAGCGUGCAGGAGGACGGCCCUAUGGGUGGUAAACUGCUUUUGUAUGGGGAUAAAGUUAGGGACGUGUCCCUAUUUGCAGGUACCAGACGAAUAAGGACCGGCUAAUUCCGUG